rnacentral:tRNA from 1 species
GCCGCUGUAGCUCAGUUGGUAAGAGCGUCGGGCGCGAAAUCCGAAGGUCGCAGGUUCAGUCCCUGCCAGCGGCA